GCCCGGGUGGCGGAAUUGGUAGACGCGUUGGUCUCAAAAACCAAUGAGCUUUGCUCGUGCCGGUUCGAUCCCGGCUCCGGGUA
rnacentral:tRNA from 1 species